rnacentral:rRNA from 1 species
GACGAACGCAGGCGGCGUGCCUAAUACAUGCAAGUAGAACGCUGAAGGAGGAGCUUGCUUCUCUGGAUGAGUUGCGAACGGGUGAGUAACGCGUAGGUAACCUGCCUGGUAGCGGGGGAUAACUAUUGGAAACGAUAGCUAAUACCGCAUAAGAGUAGAUGUUGCAUGACAUUUACUUAAAAGGUGCAAUUGCAUCACUA